AGCCAAUUUGGGUAUUUGGAUCCAAUUUUCUCAAAAACUGUCCGAUAACUUUUCUUUUAAUUUAACAAGGGCAUGAGAUUGGUCAUUGACAUUAUUCCCAUCCCAGAAUUAUUAGUGUAGAUUCAUUUGUUUGGAAAUGGCAGCCAUUUUUAUGCCGAAAAUGGCCAUUUUGCCUUGGCUUUAAUUGAGCCGGUAACCUACAGGGCCCUUGGCACUCUAGUUUUAAAUGUCAAACUUUGU